rnacentral:rRNA from 1 species
UACAGAGGUCUCAAGCGUUGUUCGGAUUCAUUGGGCGUAAAGGGUGCGUAGGCGGUUCGCUAAGUUGGAUGUGAAAACUCUGGGCUCAACCCAGAGCCUGCAUCCAAUACUGACGAGCUAGAGUUCUGGAGGGGGUAGCGGAAUUCCUGGUGUAGCGGUGAAAUGCGUAGAUAUCAGGAGGAACACCGGUGGCGAAGGCGGCUACCUGGACAGAGUCUGACGCUGAGGCACGAAAGCUAGGGGAGCGAACAGG